GUGCGCAGCUCCGGGCGAAUCGCCUGCUCGAUGCGGGAAUCGAACCCAUGACAGAAGCGGAGUUGAAUGCGGAUGUCCUCCACGGCGCGCUGACACUGAUAACGAACUGGAGUGUCGGGAUGUGCUCGUUUUAAGUCAGACGAGCUUCUGCUAAAUCUCCACAUUACGGACGACGACUUGGGCUAAUCGGUAAACUGGAGUGAAUCAAUUCGCGAGUGGAGCGUGUCCCCCUUCAUAUUAAGAGAAGAAUUAUAACUGCAGAAAAAUGGGAAGUACAGUGAUGGACUCCAAGAAAAAGGAUUGUACUAAGAAAUCCUCAAAGAAAAAGCGAUCUCUGCACCUAAACAUGCCAGAUUUGAGCACAUUUGCAUCCUCUCUUAUGGACGGAGAGACUGACAGAUCAGAUAAAGAUGAAAUACAAAAGGGUGACAGGAGUGACUCAGCUAGCCCAUGUUUGAGGUCUCCUGCCAGUCAGCCCUGUACCCCAGUUUCAGCCCCCAUUUUUCCCAGGACCAGUCCAGGAUCUCCUAAAACCAUCUUCCCACGUCCACUAUCUUCUCACCUGGACUCACCUCCCAAAUCUCCCCGCCGUCUCAGUUUAAGUGGUAUCUUCCGCUCCUCGUCCAGCUCAGCCCCUGCCAGCAUCAAGCUCUUCUCCAGAUCUAGAAAAAGUUCUGGACUUUCGACUCCCCCCACCACCCCGACGCAGAGUCCAGUUCCCCCCGUCUUCCCUAUGGAGACCCCCAGUCCCACGGAGCGUGUGGAGGAACGACGCUCCCGCUCUCUCUCGUCUCCCCCUGACACAGGUCAGCGCUUCAGCCUGAGCACCUCCACCACCAAACCCCCUGUCGCCUUGCACACCUUUAACUCUACCUCACGCCAGAGCGGCGUACUUGCAGAAGGCAUGCUGGAAAAACUUGAACUUGACGAUGAAGCUGCUGAAGAGCCAGACAGUGAUAUUUACAUGCGCUUUAUGAAAUCCCACAAGUGCUAUGACCUCGUCCCCACCAGUUCCAAACUAGUGGUUUUUGACACUACACUAGAGGUAAAGAAAGCUUUUUUUGCCUUGGUUGCUAAUGGAGUUCGAGCUGCCCCAUUAUGGGAAACCAAAAAGCAAAGCUUUGUGGGAAUGUUAACCAUCACAGACUUCAUCAUCAUACUGCACAGAUACUACAAAUCCCCGCUGGUACAAAUAUAUGAGCUGGAGGAGCAUAAAAUUGAGACUUGGAGAGAGCUUUACUUGCAAGAAACUUUUAAACCCUUAGUCAACAUAUCUCCAGAUGCAAGUAUAUUUGAUGCUGUUUACUCACUCAUCAAAAAUAAGAUCCAUCGCUUGCCAGUGAUCGAUCCAGUCACAGGAAACGCCCUGUACAUCCUCACACACAAGAGAAUCCUCAAGUUUCUGCAGCUUUUUGUGUGUGAGAUGCCCAAAGCAGCCUUCAUGAGGCAGACUCUGGAGGAGCUGGGCAUUGGCACGUACAGCAACAUUGCUUUCAUUCACCCAGAUACACCCAUUAUUAAAGCGCUGGGCAUGUUUGUGGACAGGAGAGUGUCUGCCCUGCCAGUGGUGGAUGUUACAGGAAAGGUUGUGGACAUUUACUCCAAAUUUGAUGUCAUUAAUCUGGCUGCUGAAAAGACCUACAAUAAUCUGGACAUCACCGUGACUCAGGCUCUGCUGCAUCGCUCACAGUAUUUUGAGGGUGUUAUGAAGUGUUAUCGGCACGAGACCCUGGACACUAUAGUGGACAGGAUUGUCAAAGCUGAGGUGCACAGGCUGGUAGUGGUGGAUGAGAACUCCAGCAUCGAGGGCAUCAUCUCUCUGUCUGACAUCCUGCAGGCGCUGGUACUCACCCCCGCAGGUAUAGACGCACAGAAUUCCUAAUCCAACCCUACAUUUCACUUUCCUUUUCUCCUCUCCACUCUUCCCCGGACACAAUCUCCUCUCCUCGGACAUCUACCACUCGAGUGUCCCUCUCUGACCCCCUGACCACAGGUAGAUGCAGAAUGGACAGUGUGACUGAAUGACAAGACAUACAACAUUUUUGGAGGCGAAAGAGAAAUUCAAGAAAUUCAGAGAACCAAAAAAGUCCCAGCCUGCAUUCUUGGAUACAGAGAAGAGGACAGCUGAAGGCGUUUUACAUCCUCACUGAAGGGCUGGAAAUUGUGCCGGGCUGAAUGAAAGCGUUUGAAUCUGGAGCGGAAGGAAUGGACAUGUGAUCAUAAUGCACACGUUACUGGACAUGUUUAUGGUGAGCCAUGGUGAGAAUGCGCUGCUGUACUGUACACUGCUUUAAAUGCUGGUUUCAGAGGCCUUCACUGACAGUGCUAUAUCAGGCAUUGUGUUCUAGCUGGGUCUGCGUUAUAUCAUCAGGCACUGAAAUCCACUCCUGGCUGAGUGUUUGACGUGGAGAUUUGCCUUAAAUGAAGACCUCAGUGAGAGUUGAUUGUAUAGGUUAGCAGAGACCCAUAGAUGUGCAUGUAGUGUAAAAGCAGGUUCAAGAUUCUUGAGUAAUAGGCAAACAUCGCUGUUGGUUCAGAGAACCUGCUAGUAAAUGGUGCAAAUGUAGACUGAUUAGACAUGUGGCCAUUAUAUUUCACCUCA